UACGUAGGUGGCAAGCGUUGUCCGGAUUUACUGGGCGUAAAGAGCGCGCAGGCGGUCGUUCAAGUCGCGUGUGAAAGCCCCCCGGCUCAACUGGGGAGGGUCACGCGAUACUGAUCGACUGGAAGGCAGGAGAGGGUAGUGGAAUUCCCGGUGUAGUGGUGAAAUGCGCAGAUAUCAGGAGGAACACCGGUGGCGAAGGCGGGUCUCUGGGCCGAUACUGACGCUGGAGGAGCGAAAGCGUGGGGAGCGAACAGG
rnacentral:rRNA from 1 species